UACGUAGGGUGCGAGCGUUAAUCGGAAUUACUGGGCGUAAAGCGUGCGCAGGCGGUUUUGUAAGACAGGUGUGAAAUCCCCGGGCUUAACCUGGGAACUGCGCUUGUGACUGCAAGACUCGAGUACGGCAGAGGGGGGUAGAAUUCCACGUGUAGCAGUGAAAUGCGUAGAGAUCUGGAGGAACACCGAUGGCGAAGGCAGCCUUCUGGGCCAACACUGACGCUCAUGCACGAAAGCGUGGGGAGCAAACAGG
rnacentral:rRNA from 1 species